UACAGAGGUGGCAAGCGUUGUUCGGAAUUACUGGGCGUAAAGGGCGCGUAGGCGGCCUUCUAAGUCGGACGUGAAAGCCCCAGGCUUAACCUGGGAACUGCGUCCGAUACUGGGAGGCUUGGAUUCGGGAGAGGGAUGCGGAAUUCCGGGUGUAGUGGUGGAAUGCGUAGAGAUCCGGAGGAACACCAGCGGCGAAGGCGGCAUCCUGGACUGGUACUGACGCUCAUGAGCGAAAGCGAUGGGGAGCGAGGU
rnacentral:rRNA from 1 species